CCGAAAGGCAGGAGUGCCUGCAAGGGAGCGCGGAGACAGGUGGUGCAUGGCUGUCGUCAGCUCGUGUCGUGAGAUGUUGGGUUAAGUCCCGCAACGAGCGCAACCCUCACCUCUUGUUGCCAUCAGGUCAUGCCGGGCACUCUAGAGGAACUGCCCCGGUCAACGGGGAGGAAGGCGGGGAUGACGUCAAGUCAUCAUGCCCCUUACGUCCUGGGCUACACACGUGCUACAAUGGCCGGUACAAAGGGAUGCCACACCGCGAGGUAGAGCUAAACCCAAAAAGCCGGUCUAAGUUCGGAUUGGAGUCUGCAACUCGACUCCAUGAAGGGGGAAUCGCUAGUAAUCGCGUAUCAGCACGACGCGGUGAAUACGUUCCCGGGCCUUGUACACACCGCCCGUCACACCACGAAAGCCAG
rnacentral:rRNA from 1 species